AGAGUUUGAUCCUGGCUCAGGACGAACGCUGGCGGCGUGCCUAACACAUGCAAGUCGAACGGAGUUAAGCCCUUCGGGACUUAACUUAGUGGCGAACGGGUGAGUAACGCGUGGGGAACCUGCCUUAUACCGGGGGAUAACAGCUGGAAACGGCUACUAAUACCGCAUAAGCGCACGGCACCGCAUGGUGCAGUGUGAAAAACUCCGGUGGUAUAAGAUGGACCCGCGUUAGAUUAGCUUGUUGGCGGGGUAACGGCCCACCAAGGCGACGAUCUAUAGCCGGCCUGAGAGGGCGACCGGCCACAUUGGGACUGAGACACGGCCCAAACUCCUACGGGAGGCAGCAGUGGGGAAUAUUGCACAAUGGGGGAAACCCUGAUGCAGCGACGCCGCGUGAGCGAAGAAGUAUUUCGGUAUGUAAAGCUCUAUCAGCAGGGAAGAAAAUGACGGUACCUGACUAAGAAGCCCCGGCUAACUACGUGCCAGCAGCCGCGGUAAUACGUAGGGGGCAAGCGUUAUCCGGAUUUACUGGGUGUAAAGGGAGCGCAGGCGGUCUUGCAAGUCUGAUGUGAAAGCCCGGGGCUCAACCCCGGGACUGCAUUGGAAACUGUGAGACUUGAGUGUCGGAGGGGCAAGUGGAAUUCCUAGUGUAGCGGUGAAAUGCGUAGAUAUUAGGAGGAACACCAGUGGCGAAGGCGGCUUGCUGGACGACAACUGACGCUGAGGCGCGAAAGCGUGGGGAGCAAACAGGAUUAGAUACCCUGGUAGUCCACGCUGUAAACGAUGAAUACUAGGUGUGGGAGGACUGACCCCUUCCGUGCCGCAGUUAACACAAUAAGUAUUCCACCUGGGGAGUACGACCGCAAGGUUGAAACUCAAAGGAAUUGACGGGGGCCCGCACAAGCAGUGGAUUAUGUGGUUUAAUUCGGCGCAACGCGAAGAACCUUACCAGGACUUGACAUCCAACUAACGAGGCAGAGAUGCGUUAGGUGCCCUUCGGGGAAAGUUGAGACAGGUGGUGCUUGGUUGUCGUCAGCUCGUGUCGUGAGAUGUUGGGUUAAGUCCCGCAACGAGCGCAACCCCUAUUGUUAGUUGCUACGAAAGAGCACUCUAGCGAGACUGCCGUUGACAAAACGGAGGAAGGCGGGGACGACGUCAAAUCAUCAUGCCCCUUAUGUCCUGGGCUACACACGUAAUACAAUGGUGGCGAACAGAGGGAAGCAAAGGAGCGAUCUGGAGCAAAACCCUAAAAGCCACCUCAGUUCGGAUUGCAGGCUGCAACUCGCCUGCAUGAAGCUGGAAUUGCUAGUAAUCGCGGAUCAGAAAGCCGCGGUGAAUACGUUCCCGGGCCUUGCACACACCGCCGGUCA
rnacentral:rRNA from 1 species